rnacentral:rRNA from 1 species
AGGAAUACAUGGGAAUCUGCCCAGUCGUGGGGGAUAACGUAUGGAAACGUACGCUAAUACCGCAUGCGCCCUACGGGGGAAAGCCGGGGACCUUCGGGCCUGGCGCGAUUGGAUGAGCCCAUGUUCGAUUAGCUAGUUGGCGGGGUAAAGGCCCACCAAGGCGACGAUCGAUAGCUGGUCUGAGAGGAUGAUCAGCCACACUGGGACUGAGACACGGCCCAGACUCCUACGGGAGGCAGCAGUAGGGAAUAUUGGACAAUGGGCGCAAGCCUGAUCCAGCCAUGCCGCGUGAGUGAAGAAGGCCCUCGGGUUGUAAAGCUCUUUUGUCCGGAAAGAAAAGCAUUCGGUUAAUACCCGGGUGUUCUGACGGUACCGGAAGAAUAAGCACCGGCUAGUUCGU